rnacentral:rRNA from 1 species
UACGUAGGGGGCAAGCGUUGUCCGGAUUUAUUGGGCGUAAAGAGCGUGUAGGCGGCCAGAUAGGUCCGUUGUGAAAACUCGAGGCUCAAUCUCGAGACGCCGAUGGAAACCAUUUGGCUAGAGUCCGGAAGAGGAGAGUGGAAUUCCCGGUGUAGCGGUGAAAUGCGCAGAUAUCGGGAAGAACACCCGUGGCUAAGGCGGCUCUCUAGUACGGUACUGACGCUGAGACGCGAAAGCGUGGGGAGCGAACAGG